CGUGGCGCACUCAAGUACGGGGACGAUCUGGCGUCGGUGGUGUGGAGGUGCCUGGUAUAAGAACGGUGGAGACUGAUUAAUAAUGGAAUGCAGGUGUGCCGGUGAUCAGCCGCAAGCAGCUACUUCCAUCCAGCAUCUGUGACCUGCAGCUGCACUCUGAGCAGGUACCCUCCACCACCCAGCUCCACCUGCCACGAGAUGACUCAAGACUCCCCACUGUGGCAGGCUCAGACGCCCUCCCGCAGAGCGUUCUGACAGGAUCUGCUCCUGUCUUGGUUCGAUUCAUGGUUGGCAAAGUCUCUUUCAGUUGACAUACCUCUAAAUUAAUAAGUGCAUCACAUAAACAGAUUUGGAUUUUAGCUAUCUUAGGUUCACAGCUGGAAAAUACACCUGGUGUGCCACUUUUCACCUUCAUGUUGUCAAGACAACAUCAGUGCUUGAAAUGGGCCACACACCCUCUAGUACUGGUCCUUUUUUUCCCCGUCCACAUGUGUAACAUUGUUAUUUAAAGUGUGCUGCCACUUACUGUUGAAUGUUGGCACAUGCUGUGUAGUUUCAUCAAGUAUGAGGCUUGAAUUCCUCUUGUCCAAACAAGUCUGGAGAAGCAUAAAUGUGCUACUGCUCUUCGUUACCUGAGUUGCAUAUUAGCACUCACCAGGGGACAGCUGCUGGAUGGAAGCUAAAGCCUUCUGCUCUCGCCUCCAAAAUCUUCCACCAGCACAGACUUGAUGUCCACAUAAUUAGUGCCAACAUUUUCUUUCAAUUUGAAAUUUAGAUGCCUCUAUGCAGCCAAUUAGCAUGCAUGUGGAUGGAUGCUAGCUACAGGUGGAGUGUUCAUGGAAGAAGAUGGGCUCUUCAGCAGAUCCCUCUUGAGCAAGAGUGGUUUCGUGGAAACACCAAUGGUAACACUUUUUUUUAAAGAUUAUAAAAAUGUUUUUUUUGUAGCUAUGUCUUCCAAUUUACUUUUUCCACACAUUGGGGUUGAGAUUGGAUCAGCCCAUAUUCCUUGCAAAUACUUGACAAAGCACUCAAUAUUGACCAUCUACAACCUCCAAACACAUUUAUGUGUUUUAUGUCCAUUCCAGCUAAAUAUGUGUGUGCGUGUGUCAAACAAACACUGUUGUAUUUCUUUAAAGCAAUCAUGGUUUCACAAGCUGCCACUUGAGCUCAUGUGCUGCAGCCUCUUAGCAAAAGUUUGCUCUGACCUUCUGUGAUUUUAGUUGUCUUCUCUGUGUGGAUUUACUUUGUUCUCCUUGUUUGUUCAUGAAGCACUUUGAGGCGUGCUUGUGAUAAGGGUCUGUACACUGUAAAUUGAUCUUGACACAGCGCCAGUGUGUUAUGAUGCACCUGAACACCUCACAACAAAUCAAAGGCUCCUUCGUAUAAUUAAUAAACGCCAUGUACAGAAAGAUGCAGAGGCAGAGUGAGAGAGGGGCAGAAAGUCAAGAAAAAAAGUAACAGAUGCUUGAUGGCGAAAAAAGCAGCAGUGCAACACAUGAAUAUGCUCUGCUGAAUCCAUCCAUCUGCCUGCUUCUCCAUCU